rnacentral:rRNA from 1 species
UUAGGGGUUUCUGGUUUUUCAAGAAAUGAAUUUAAUUCAUGCGUCUUAUUUAGAGUUUUAUUAUCUUUUUAUUUUUUUUUAUUUGGCGUUAAGAUUGGGAGGGAUUAGCUUCUUAUUUUAUUUUUAUAAUUUCUAUGUUUAUUUAGUCUUGUGGAUUUUAUGGUGAUUUUCAAUUUGAUUAUGUUAAAAUUUUAUCUAUUUUUUUCUUUAUUUUAUUUUAUUUAAUUAUUUAUUGAAAUGUAUUCUUUAUCUUUAAUUUUGUUUAGUAAUUAUUGUGGAAUUAGUAAAUUUGUUGUUAGGUUGUUUUCGUUUAGUGUUAAUUUUUUUUAAGGAACUAGGCAAAUUUCAUGUCCGCCUGUUUAACAAAAACAUCUUUUCUCGUUAGUUUUUGAAGUAUGGCCUGCCCGCUGACUUUAGUGUUGAAGGGCCGCGGUAUUUUGACCGUGCAAAGGUAGCAUAGUCAUUAGUUCUUUAAUUGUGAUCUGGUAUGAAUGGCUUGACGAGGCAUGGGCUGUCUUAAUUUUGAAUUGUUUAUUGAAUUUGGUCUUUGAGUUAAAAUUCUUAGAUGUUUUUAUGGGACGAGAAGACCCUAUAGAGUUUGACAUUUGUAUGGUCUCUUUCUGUUUGUGAGGGUUCACUGGGCCGUUUAAUAUGUUUUGUUGGGGUGAUGGGAGGGAUAUAGUUUAA